ensembl:lncRNA
AUGGCGGCGCGGCCACACGCAGCGGCUUCUCUCUGUCCCGACAGAACGGUGUUUUCGUGUUUUUUGUCUUGUGAGUCGCAGUGUUUUUGCACGUUGUCGUCACGUCUACCUGUCUGUAAGCGCAAAUACAGUCGCGAGUUUCUGCUCGAUGUCGGCAGAACCGCAUUUUUACAGUUAAACUCCGCGCAAGCGGAACAGCUGCGGGAUCUCGAUCUGCUACGGAGGCCUUCACCAUCAUCGACCCCCACUACUGCAUCUCGCCCGCAGCGGAGGCGCCACAAGCGGCGUGAGAGGAAGCAGAAGAGGGGGAAGCGCGGAGGUAUCCGGGCUAGGCUAACGGCUAACCCACACAAGCCAUCUGUCCCCACCAUCGUACUGGCUAACGUACGCUCGUUGGACAAUAAACUGGACUACAUUCGUUUACUACGCUCAACUCAGAGGACUGUAAGAGACUGUUGUGUUUUUGUGUUCACGGAAACAUGGCUCAGCAACAGCGUUCCAGAUGGCGCUAUUCAGCUCGACCAGCUGACGUGCUAUCGAGCGGACAGAGCUCUCGUCGCGGGAGGAAAAACCCGCGGCGGCGGGCUUUGUGUUUACAUCAAUGACGCGUGGUGCCGCGAUACUGUUGUGAUCAGCAAACACUGCUCAACCCUGGUGGAGUUUAUGAUUAUUAAGUGCCGGCCGUUCUAUCUGCCGAGGGAAUAUACUGCUAUACUGCUCAUUUCAGUGUACAUUCCCCAUUCAACAUCACCAGCAACAGGAACGACGCACUUAAUGAACUGUACCAACACAUCAGUGAGCAGCAGACAGCACACCCGGAUGCUUUUUCUCAUCAUAGCUGGGGAUUUCAACCAUGCUGACCUUAAGAGUGUGUUUCCAAAAAAAUACACCAGCACAUCAACUUUCCAACACGAGGUAAUAACAUUUUUGGACUUUGUUUACACCACACAGAGAGGAGCUUACAAAGCCCUCCCCCUCCCCCCACCUCGGAGCCUCAGAUCACAUCACUGUUAUGCUAAUGCCUGCAUACAGACCACUCAUUAA